AACAAGGUUUCCGUAGGUGAACCUGCGGAAGGAUCAUUAUCGAAGUCGAACGUCUAGGAGGGGAAGUGGGGGAGAGCGCAGGCGGCCUCGGGACUGUCGCCGGCCUCGUGCGCGUGCACGUCCCCUCGUCCGUCGCUCUUCCCGACCCUUCGAGGCUUUCAACCUUCUCCACACCCGUGUGCACCCGCUGUAGGUCCUUCGGGAUCUACGUCUCCUUUCGAACUCGCAUGUCUACAGAACGUGUUCGACGCGUCCCGACCUCGACCUCAGGGUCUUGCGUCGGCGACCGUCAAAGACCAUGUCAUACAACUUUCAGCAACGGAUCUCUUGGCUCUCGCAUCGAUGAAGAACGCAGCGAAUCGCGAUAAGUAAUGUGAAUUGCAGAUUUUCCGUGAAUCAUCGAAUCUUUGAACGCACCUUGCGCUCCUCGGUAUUCCGAGGAGCAUGCCUGUCUGAGUGUCAUCGAAACCUCGAAUCGAAACUUCGACCUCGUCGGAGCUCGGUUCGGAACGUGGGAGUCUGCGGGCGAACCUCGCUUCGUCCGCUCUCCUCAAAAGCAUUAGCCGUGGGCACGAGCCCUUGCAUGGCACGGCCUCUUCGACGUCAUAACGAUCGUCGCGGGCUGGAAGUGCAUGGCUCGACGUGCAUCCCAUGCUUCUCGAGUCUUGCGAGCCUCCGUCCGCAGGGACGGGGCCGCGCCCCAUCGACGCUUGACCUCAGAUCAGGUAGGACUACCCGCUGAACUUAAGCAUAUCAAUAAGCGGAGGAAAAGAAACUAACGAGGAUUCCCCUAGUAACUGCGAGUGAAGCGGGAAAAGCUCAAAUUUCGAA
rnacentral:rRNA from 1 species